GAAAACCCCCACAAUAUUUCUAAAGGUCAGUUUUCCUCACUGUGCAACCAGGACUGAGCUCUCGGAUGAAUGGAGCUUCCCUCCAGCCACCUCCAAGCAUACAAAAAGCUAUUUAAUAUGAAAGUCAUACUGCAGAUGAUAAUAUUACACAGUUUGAAGUGACUGGAAGCAUAAGAACUGACUCCUUUUGGAAGAAAUAAUUGUCCAGGCCCAUAAAAAUAUUAUUCAAAGUUUACUUGCAGAACUCUUCAGAAACAAAACAGGAACAUCAAAUGAUACAUCCAAUAAUGUCCAUGCAAUAUCUUCUGCUGUCCAGCACAGGCUCAGCACCUUAGAAAAUACUAAAUAAUCCAAACAGACCUUCUCUACAUUGCUUGAUCCCACACUACCUGCAAGGGUGACAAGCAAAUUAGUCCUAAGACUUUAGAAAACCUGGGUAUUUAUUCCCCCCACCCCGAACUAAAUGCAAACAGUAUUACUUAAACUGGUUAUAAAUCUAAACAUCAAGUUUCUCUUGCUGAAGGCUUGCAUUUGAAAGGAAAAAGGAACCCCUGGAUAAAUAGGGUCAGCAGAAACUCGUUUUGUUUUGGUUUUAAAAGGAUAUAUAAAGCAUGUGCAUUAUAGUAUCUCAGAACGAUGUGCAGAAAACAAAAAAUAAGUAUAAUAAGUUACUAGGAUCCGGGGGGAUUUCCAAAAGUUGGUGCUUUAUUCUGGAUCUUAAGCAAGGCAAUCAAAAAUUCGCGGGGGGUGGCAUUUUGGUUUUUUAAAAAGCUUCACAACUUUGGGGUUUAAACCAUGAGAGCAGCAAGAAUGUUGUGUUGUGCUGCGGUCUGCAACAGAUUAGGUAAAGGUAAAGGACCUCUGACAGUUAAGUCCAGUCGCAGACGACUUUGGGGUUGCAGCACUCAUCUCGCUUUACAGGCUGAGGGAGCCGGUGUUUGUCUGCAGACAGUUUUUCUGGGUCAUGUGGAUAGCAUGACUAAGCCGCUUCUGGUGCAAUGGAACACCAAAACCAGAGCAGUGCACGGAAACGGUGUUUACCUUCCUGCCAGAGCGGUACCUAUUUAUCUACUUGCACUUUUUGCCGUGCUUUCAAACUGCUAGGUUGGCAGGAGCUGGGACCGAGCAACAGGAGCUCACCCCGUGGUGGGGAUUCGAACCGCCGACCUUCUGAUCAGCAAGCCCAAGAGGCUCAGUGGUUUAGACCACAGCGCCACCUGCGUCCCAUCUGCAACAGUUUAAACUGUGUAAAAUGUACUAGCAUUCACUUUUUGAAAUGGGCAACCCUCCUAGAAGAUGAUCAGUAGAUAAUAUUUAAGAAUUUCAUGCAGAAAAUACUUGGGCUUGUCGAAGCAUGUUCUGCCUCAUGUUCUUGUAGAAGGAAGAGUCCUGAAACAAUUCACAUAUGCUGCAUUCUCCAUUCACAGGGAGAAGAUCUCAUCUGGUGCUCACGACUUUAUGGAAUUGUAUCAUUUUUAAAAAAUGGAUCUGUUGUCGUUCACUUUAUUUAUACGCUCCUGUGUUUGAUAUCAUAGUGAUUGCAAUGCUUGUUGUUAUCUCAUGCUACUGCGAUUAUUGCGAGUUGCUUUGAGCUCAAUGUUUGUUGUCAUUAAAACGGAUAUUAAAUCGGAUCUGAAUCACAGGAAAUUGUGCCGAAUCUUGAUCCUCAUGGCGUUGAAUCUGUGUUGCUGGAAGAACGGCAGUCAAAACGUUUCACCUAAAAGUAUCCCUCACCCGUUGGCCCCGUGUUCUUUGGCCUUGGGUCCCCAAAUGUUGUAGGGUUACCGCCUCCCAUCAUCCAAAGCCAACAAUCAGAGAUAACUGCGGUCGUCGUCCAACGGUGGUAGGAGACCUAAGGUUGAAGAACUCUGUCCCAGCCAACACCAUCAAAUUUAGCAGUGAGUUGUGCAUACAAAUAUAAUGGUAUACAUUUGCUAACCUAACAGCAGGCAAAUUAGAAGAGAUUACAGCAUAGCAACUGGGGGGGUUUAUAUGUCAAGUCGCAGCAGUGUUAUGUAAAAUUGCCACUUGGAAAUUACCAGUUCUUGAACGGCAUUUUGGAUGGAACUUUUUGUCAUUUUGUGGGGGUUUUAGUACGAUGUUAAGGGCAAUUUAACUGCUGGGUGCUGUUUUUCAACUUUAUAACAAUCAUCUGAACUUUUAUCUCUGAUAUGUAAUUAUUCUACUUGAGCACAAAUGGAGGAAAUACAUUUGCAAUUCUGACAAAAUCUUUCAGGCCGGGUAGUCUUCCUUUGUCUAUGAUAUAAUUAAUAAUAAUAAUAAUAAUAAUAAUAAUAAUUUAUUAUUUAUACCCCGCCCAUCUGGCUGGGUUUCCCCAGCCACUCUGGGCGGCUUCCAAAAGAAUAUUAAAAUACUGUGAUACAUCAAACAUUAAAAGCUUCCCUAAACAGGGCUCAUACAUUCAUAUGAGACACUUCAAAGCUGCUCUUUAUGUCAUUAGUUAAUGUUCUUAAUGCAGAAGGUGAUUCCAUUUUCCACUCCAACAAAUGCAGACCUAACAUUCAGGAUUUGACUUGCAUCUGCCUCAAAGCAGCAAGCCUGGCAGCACAUUAAAGGGCAGCAAGCCGUCAAUUACUUAAUAAAUUAAUAUUUUUUUUUACUAUGAGGAGAGCCCGUCGUGUGGAUUUCAUGCCUCAGUUGCCAAAAUGCCCUUGACUUUGCCCAGUUAAAAUCCCGUAACAAAAGUUGGUGAUAAUAAUAAUAAUAGAUUCUGAAAUGCCAUGCUCCAAAAACUACAGUGUAGAAAUAAACAACCCCUUCAUAACUUUUUCCCAGUCUGUACAGCAUGUUCUCUCUUCACACAUGCACACACACACACAGUGAAAAACGUGCUGACCAGCUUCGUUCCUAAUGUAUUAUAGCCUUUUGCUACAUGAAAACAAUAAUGUAAGCUAUUUUGGAAGCUAUUUUGGAAGGGCUGAAAUGUACUUUCCCGUUCAGCUUCGGUACAAAUGGGUCACGGUGCUCUCACACUUCGCCCUUCUAUUUUUCAGCACCGGGUACAUUUUCAGAAAUCUACACUCCACCCCACAAACACAACACGGCUACCAGAAAACAGCAAAACCUUGCCAAUCUUUAUUUCGGACGUAUCAUUAAAAGACAUCUCAUUAUACUCCUUUGUGAUAACAUUACUGUUAAUUUUAAAAUAUUGAUUGAUUUUCGGUGUGGCUGUUAGGAAUUUCUGAUCAGAUCUCCACAUUUCCAGUAUAUGGCUUGGUUCUACAAUGGAGCUUUCCAGACUUCUGGUGUGGGUGACACACAUUGUAGACAUGCGUCAUUUUGCGACACAGUGAUUCAGGUUUACUAGCAAAUUGGAGGUUAAGGAACGCAGGGGCUUUUGGGUGGCAAGGCUACCUAUUGCAGCUGGCACGCUGAUGUGUCGCAACACACAAUUUGGAAAGCUCUGUUCUACAGCAACCAACCUUUUCUAUGAUUUUCAAUUUUAUACAUUUCAAUAAUUUUACAACCAUUUUAACAUUC